CCUACGGGUGGCAGCAGUGGGGAAUAUUGCACAAUGGGGGAAACCCUGAUGCAGCGACGCCGCGUGAGGGAAGAAGGAUUUCUGGUCGUAAAGCUCUAUUAAUAGGGAAGAAAAUGACGGUACCUGACUAAUAAGCCCCGGCGACCUACGUGCCAGCAGCCGCGGUCCUACGUAGGGGGCAAGCGUUAUCCGGAUUUACUGGGCGUAAAGGGAGCGUAGACGGCAGCGCAAGUCUGGAGUGAAAUCCUAUGGCUUAACCAUGGAACUGCUUUGGAAACUGUGCAGCUGGAGUGCAGGAGAGGUAAGCGGAAUUCCUAGUGUAGCGGUGAAAUGCGUAGAUAUUAGGAGGAACACCAGUGGCGAAGGCGGCUUACUGGACUGUAACUGACGUUGAGGCUCGAAAGCGUGGGGAGCAAACAGGAUUAGAUACCCUAGUAGUC
rnacentral:rRNA from 1 species